CAAGUCCCCCGCCGAAAUCGUCCGGGAGGUGCUGCUGAGCAGUGGGGAGGGGGCCCCGCCACGGCCCUCCUCCUCCCCCGGAGUGCCACAGGAGCUCCGCUCCCCCAGGCAGGCCACUGCACUGGUGCAGCAACUGCAGGUAACCCCAGAGCUGGACUGGGAUGCUCGUAUGCCCUGUGGGAUGGUCGUGUCCCCUUCUAGGGAUGCACGUGUACCCCCUUUUGUUGCUUAUGUCCAUACAUAGAGAUGCUCCUGUCCCACCCCCCCCAGGAUGCCCAUGUCCGCCUUGGGAUGCCCUUGUCCCCUCUGUGAUGCUCAUGUCCGCCUUUGGUUUCUCCUGUCUCCCCGAAGGAUGUUCCUGCCCCCCUCCGUGCCUUAGGAUGCUCAUGUCCCCAUAAGGAUGCUCCUGUCCCCUCCCCAGGAUUCUCCUGACCCCAUGCAGUGCUUCUGUCUCCUGAUGCCCUUCUGUCCCUUGGGAGGAGAGGGAUGGUCCCAUCACCCCCCUCCCCAUCAUCCAAGGCUACAUCCACACCAGCUGUGCAGGUGUGGCAGCUCUGUGCGCCCCAAAGUGCUCCUCCCCAUGACAUGAUGACAUGUGCCCCCACAGGAUGACUACCACAAGCUGCUGACCAAGUACGCCGAGGCCGAAAACACCAUUGACCAGCUGAGGCUGGGGGCCAAGGUGAACCUGUAUGCCGACCCGCCGUGUGCCAGCCGCAGUGCCCGCGCCGGCACCAUGAGUGGUGGCUGCAGGGUGAUGGCCUUCAGCAUCCCACGGCCCAGCGCCGCAGCCAUCAGCACAGCCCCAAACCCACAGCUCCCCGUGGGUGGAGCUCCAGCGCCACAACCAGCAGAGCCGGGGGCAGCAUCCCAGCCCUGCUCUCCUCGCUCCCCCCUGGGGGGCUGCCCCACAUGUGUGGGGCCGUGCUGCUGUGCAGGGCCACGGCUCACACAGACACUGGCAGAGCAGACCCGCAAAUUUCAAGCGCAGGUAAGUCAGGGGGACAG
rnacentral:lncRNA from 1 species